UCAACAUGCUGUCACUGCAGCAUUGUGUGUUUUCUCUGAUGUUCCUUUCCAUCCUCACAGGUGUCAGCUGUGAAGAUCUCACUCCAGUAGAGAAAGAAGAGAACAGUUUAGAAGGCAGCUCUGUUACUCUGUCCUACAGAUACUUGGAGUUGUCAUCUGGUGAUUAUUUCUUCUGGUACCGACAAUAUCCAGGAAAACCACCAGAGUUCAUCAUCUCCCACUCUGCUUCAGGACAAUUGUUUUUUGGAGGAGAAGUAAAUAAUGUAAUCCCUGGACUGAAGAUUAAAGUGGAGGACAAACAAAUCCACAUGAACAUCUCCUCAGCUAAGGUGUCUGACUCUGCUGUGUACUACUGUGCUGUGAGGCCCACAGUGACAGGAAACACCAAAACUCUGUCCAAAAACCUUUGGAGCAAAGACAACACAAUACUCCACAACAUCCACUAGAGGGAGUCACAGACUGUUAAAC